rnacentral:rRNA from 1 species
AUUGAACGCUGGCGGCAUGCCUUACACAUGCAAGUCGAGCGGUAACAGGUUAAGCUGACGAGUGGCGAACGGGUGAGUAAUAUAUCGGAACGUGCCCAGUCGUGGGGGAUAACGUAGCGAAAGCUACGCUAAUACCGCAUACGAUUUACGGAUGAAAGCGGGGGAUCGCAAGACCUCGCGCGAUUGGAGCGGCCGAUAUCAGGUUCGGUUGUUGGUGAGGUAAAAGCUCACCAAGCCUGCGAUCUGUAGCUGGUCUGAGAGGACGAACAGCCAGACUGGGACAGGGACACGGACCAGACUCCUACGGGAGGCAGCAGUGGGGAAUUUUGGACAAUGGGCGAGAGCCGGAUCCAACAAUGCCGCGUGCAGGAAGAAGGCCUUCGGGUUGUAAACUGCUUUUGUACGGAGCGAAAAGGUCCUUUCUAAGACAAGGGGCUCAUGACAGUACCUGGGGAAUAAGCGCCGGCUAACACCGUGCCAGCCGCCGCGGUAA